UAAGCAAGUUAAGCGCCAGAGCUUGCGUGAUGAACGAUCUGUUGUAGAGCUGGGAAGAAAAGCUUGAAGCGGGUGUUCAUACGGGAAGCUGACGAGGUGAAGGUGUUCGAAACAUUCGGCGGGGACCUUCCGGUAUUUGCAAGCCAACCGAAAGCUGUUACGUAAAACGGCCGGGCGACCGGUCAUACAAUCGUGCAGCAGGCUGCUUAUU
rnacentral:ncRNA from 2 species